UGGCACCUAGGCUGACAUGAGGACAUGAA
rnacentral:piRNA from 1 species